rnacentral:tRNA from 1 species
GGUUUAUUGGGGAAGUCCGGCCGUUCCCGCUUCCCUGUCACGGAAGAGAUCACGAGUUCAAAUCUCGUAUAAACCG